AUAGUUAUAUAAAAAAUAUCGAAAAAGAAAUGGCAGUCGAGGCGCAAUGAAAUGGCAUCUAACACAAUGUUGCCAACAUUAAAAAAAAAUAAAGCCAAAUUAGGGAGACAUGAAUGUCCUACGUUCUUCACCCGCAUCCGGUAUUUACUCAACAUACCUACCUUAAUCGUUGAACCGCCGCAUUUCAAAAUGGCCCUUAUUUUGAUAUUGGCUAGCCGUAUUGUAAUACGGUGGAUUAUACAAUACGACUGCGAUACUUAUAUAUAAAUCCCCUCGUUAAUGUAAUUUCAUUUUUGCUAUCUAGUGGCAAACAUCAAAGUAGUUAUCUUUUACUUGUGACGCAUAAGUGUGAGCAAUGUAAAAUACUAUAAGUACUUAUUUCUAAAAAAAUGCCUUAAUUAUUGUGAUUAUACGUAGUAAAAGAAAUUGUGAUUAAUUGAUUAUUAAAUUCGCAAAAUGCUGUCGUUUUAUUUAAAAUAAUGAAAUAAUUAGACCAGUUCCGAAAGUACCGGGAAAUCCCUGUUCCUAUUUCCAAUAGUACCGAAAAUCCCGGUUCUUUAAAACAGUACCGGUUCUGCAAUCCCUAAAAAGGAUGUUAUGCCCAUCACUAUUCCUUCUGUGUACGUAUAUUUAUAAACUGUCUCCGCCUCCAAUUCGUGCGAUAAGGACAACUGCAGCUCGGACUAAUAUUCACUCGCAAAAAACUCAAAAAUCGAGGUUUCGCUCUCGACUGUUUCCUCCUCCAAAACGCAACCAAUCAUUAUGAAAUUUUGGAAAUUGCAAGAGGAAGAAAUAAUCUAUGCCGCUAUGUUUUGAUUUUUUGGAUAUUUAUUGUCAUAUUUGUAUACUGUGCCUUUUUUUACAGCCAAUUCAAUUGAGCCGUUUUUGCGAUUUUUGAGGCGCUGUAAGUUUCUUCAAAAUAUAAUAAUCCAAAAAAGCAAAACAUAGCGGCACAGAUAUUGAUGAUAUUGAUCUUAUUUGAAAAAAUCAUUGCUCUAGGUUCAAAAUCCAGGGAGGAAACAGUCGAGAGCGUUUGUAUGGAAAAAUCACCACUAGGAAUUCCUCUUAAAAUCGGAUACAAAAGGGUAGACACCGGACCUAUUUCUUUGUGAUACCUUAUUCUCUUUCCAUUAGAAGCAACUUUUUUUCACCAUCCAAUGUUCUCCCUUGAUGGCAAAACACUCGUUAUCCUAAAAAAAAGUAUGUCUCAUCUUUACACAGGUACAAAACUAAAACCGUUCUAUAUUGAAGAUUACCAAAAUUCAGGCCGAAUCUACGGUUAUUAUUUAACGAUUCGCUACGUACUUCAAGAAUCUGUCACGUGUUGAGAUCUCGAAAAAACAUUUUUUCACGAGUUCUCUCAAUUGGUCCCAAAAUUGUCCGGCAUUAUCCCAACAUACUUUACCCAGAUUGUCAUUGCGAUACGUU